AUCGCUUCUCGGCCUUUUGGCUAAGAUCAAGUGUAAUCUAUAUAAGUAACAAAACUUCCUUUAUUUUAUUAGGAAAUUUUAAAAAGAGGACAAGUGUCCCAGGCCACAGGUUGGACACGCCUGCUUAGGGUUUGUACAAUGUGAAGCAGUCACAUU
rnacentral:snRNA from 1 species